CCUACGGGCGGCAGCAGUGGGGGAUAUUGCACAAUGGGGGAAACCCUGAUGCAGCGACGCCGCGUGUGGGAAGACGGUCCUCUGGAUUGUAAACCACUGUCCCCAGGGACGAAGAUGACGGUACCUGGGGAGGAAGCUCCGGCAAACUACGUGCCAGCAGCCGCGGUAAUUCGGAGGGAGCGAGCGUUGUCCGGAAUUACUGGGUGAAAAGGGAGCGUAGGCGGGGAUGCAAGGUGGGUGUCAAAACUACCGGCACAACUGGUAGUCGAACUCAAAACGGCAGCUCUUGGGUGAAGUGGAGGCAGGCGGAAUUCCUGGUGUGGCGGUGAAAGGCGUAGAUAUUAGGAGGAAAACCAGUGGCGAGGCGGCCUGCUGGGCUUUUACUGACGCUGAGGCUCGAAAGUGUGGGGAGCAAACAGGAUUAGAUACCCCUGUAGUC
rnacentral:rRNA from 1 species